GAGUAGUUUCAAUUUGUUUAAA
rnacentral:snRNA from 1 species